GAUCGUGUUUUAAAUUCUCUUCAAAUUUUCAAUUCUCAACACUAGGACAUCAAUUAAUUAUCUAGGUACCAAUUUUGGGCGUUACAAGGGUCCUAAUCCUUCAUCGUGCGUAACCAACUCCCGAACCUAAUUCCUGGAUUUUGUAAAUAAAAAAGUAUCAUUUUAAUAAGUCUAACAUUUUAUUAAAAUGAGUUUAAAGUUAAUUUAGUCAAACCUAAAUAAAAAGAUUGGUGGC
rnacentral:lncRNA from 1 species